rnacentral:rRNA from 1 species
CACGGGGGGAGCAAGCGUUGUUCGGAUUCACUGGGCGUAAAGGGUGCGUAGGCGGCCGGGUAAGUCUGAUGUGAAAUCCCGCAGCUUAACUGCGGAACUGCAUCGGAUACUCUCCGGCUAGAGGAAUGGAGGGGAGACUGGAAUUCUCGGUGUAGCAGUGAAAUGCGUAGAUAUCGAGAGGAACACCAGUGGCGAAGGCGAGUCUCUGGACAUUUCCUAACGCUGAGGCACGAAAGCCAGGGGAGCAAACGGG